CUUGGCAGAUUCCUCAUCCCCAAUUCCUUAUGUUCCUUCAUGCAUGUGAUUCUCAUUAAUAUGUUCCAGAUUCGUUGGGUCAACCGUGGUGACUUCAAGAAAUGAAGAAAAAAUGGAGACCAUGGAGAAAAUGAAGAAAAAAUUUGAGGUAGAUCUUUAGCUAAAACUUCAGCACACCACAACCGCAACACUGAACUCGCAAAAUUUAGGAAAAUGGAGGAAUUUUUCAAGUAGAGAAUUUUAAUAACCAUCUGAAGAAUCAGUAAGAAGAAGAGAUAAGGAAAUGGUUUCCUCACCAGUAUAAUUGCCUUCGGUGAAGUUGUUCCAAAAGAUAAGCUGCUCAGGAUGGAAAAGCUGACGGUAAGUUCCCGUACAGACUUCAUCGAUAACAGUGGGCUCAAGAUCAACAAAUAAAGCAUCAACCGUAGUAUCACCGCCAAGGAACCCAAACAAAGCUAUGAUCAGGUUCUGUGCUCAACCAAAAAAAAAAACAAAUCCACAGAAAAUGAAGAAAUUCUGAAAGUGAAUCAAACCAAUGGAUUCCAUUGUGUAUUCACAAAAGGAAAAGGUAAAUUCUGCAGGGAAAAACGUACUCUCACCGAGUGUAGUUGGUUCAAUGAGAGGAAGAUAUUUCCACCUCAGAGUUAUUUUUUUUUCUCUAAACUACCACGUAUACGUUCUUUCAACAAAUUGAAGCUAGCUUUCAGUCUCGGUGUACUGUCAAAGUCUUCCAUGUUCCAGGCAGAAGUUCCUAUAAAUAUGGAAAAUGCCAAAAUAAUGUUUUAGCUCAGGAAAAGGCAGAGGUUGAAAGAAAAUCAAUAGGUUAGUUCAACGAAUCACAAAGGCAAAUUACAGGUCAUGUUUUUAAAAUCAUAUACAUAGCUGAGAAAGUAAGAUGUUCAUGAAAACAUAAAUUUUCAUGCCUUGUGCGAAAUGGAAGUUGCUCAUAGAAAAACUUAAUUCAGAAUAAUAAACCUCGUGUAAAGAUUCCACUGCAUAAAUCAAAUUUUUGGUGUUGUCACUAACAACACCUUCGAUCGAUCUCCCAUAUGUUUUGUCAGCAGAUUGGAAGAAUAAAAACUCCAGAAGCUUUACAAACGUUCAUGUCCUAGGUGGUUCGAGGCGGCGGCGUCUCCACGGGAUAAGCCGAAUAGGGAGAUACGGUGACAGUAACAUCUGAUUGACAAAAUUAAGAAGUUUAGGUGUGAGAUGAUCAGGAAUUGGCUACACAACAAUAUUGAGAAGAAAAAUCCAACUCUCGAGGAUAAUCAGAAGAGCAAACAAAUCAUUAGGCUUCGGUAGAAAUAAGAACAUGGUGAAUCGGGAAAAUAGACAGUGGAUAUUAACCAGCAUUACCUUUUAAUUGAUGAAGAGCGUGUCACCCAUGAGCUGUCCUCCUUUCUUCACAUUAUGAGCCUCCCAAAACCGAAACAGACGCAUCUGGACUUUCUUACCAAAGCCACCGACUUUCAAUUUAGACAGAAGGAGGCAUGAAGUUGCUAUCAGAGAUAUCUGAGUUGAUCGCGUGAAACGGAAACGAAGAAGAAGAAGAGCAAAGGGUUUCACGAAUCAGAUUGAUGGGCUUCCUGGCCCAAUCAUAUAAACACCACAGAUUUUUUAAAAACGCAAACUGUAGCUUACGUGGCAAAACCUUAUAAUAUGAUUGGGUGAUUUUUUAACCUUAUAAUAAGAUUAGAGUCUCGAAGCUCAAUACUUGACAAUAGAGUUGACCUGUAACGAUAUUUAACAUUUUGCCGUAAUUUACUCUGAGAAAAACGAUGAUUCGUUAGAGAUUGAGUUCUCUGAUAAUUUUUGUUAACAUAAAACUUUCGUAUAGAUUGAUACAAUGAAUCAAAUAUUUCUGUAAACACAAAUCCAAUUGCUGUUCACAUUUUUGGAGAUUAGGAGGACUUCGAAGGGAAGUUACCAUGAGUUGGUUCAAGCGUGUUGACCAGUUGCCACUAAGUGAAGAUGCCAAUUUGUAUGACCCAUUACUUCCUCUUGGGUUUGGUCUUAAUUGCAAAUCCGGUUAAAUGGUUUAGCUUCAAUGGUUUGUUCACGAUAAAUGAUGGAAUGAGCUUUAUUUGUUACUAGUGGUUUGUUCGCCCUACGGGCGGAAAUAUUAUAUUUGUUUAGUUUAAAUUUGAUGAUUGUUUACAUUUUUGAUGUGUUUUAGUUUUUAUUUGUUAUUAAUAUGUUUUCUGACAUUCUAUUAUUUAGUUAUUCUCAUUUAUUUUAAAAUUUUUAUUUAAUGAAAGCAUUUAUUUAUCUUCGAUUCAUAUUUUGUAUAUAUUAAUUAUGUUCUUUUUAAAAAAAUAUAUAUAUAUUAAAUAUAUGAUGUUUAAUAUUCUAUCAAAUACUGUAGAAUGUUUGACAAAAUUUUAAGCUUAAACAAAAUAAUAUAUGCCUAAAAAUGUUGUCGUGAAGUUUUAGUUUUAUACUCUCAUGAUUUCUUUUUUUACUAAAUGAUUUAUUAUUUUCCAAACUUUGAGACCGAAACUCGUGAACCAAAUGUAACCUAUAAAUACCAAUCACAUUUUUUUAUCUAAGUUUCAAAGUAUACAUUUUUAAUAAUAAUGAACAUCAUUCAUAAUGCAACUUCCACUGGACCCAUGAAUCCUCUUUAUGCAUAAUUUGACGCGAAGGAGCUGCAUAUACUUUGCAUUGUCGGUAUAUCCCGUUAGGGUAUUUUUAGGGAUACACAUGAGUUUAUCAUUUAUAAAUUACAUAUUCAUAUAAGAAAUGUGAUAGUAGGAUAAUGUUGUAUUUUUUUUAUAGAAACUCAAUUGAAAUUUUGAUAUGGAUUUUUAGUUGGUUCAUGUAAAAAUUAUAAUGCAUUUGAAUCUAGAAAAAUCCCCAUAUAAAGUUUCUAAUAAAUAUUCUUAUUACUACAUCAAAGAAUCGAUUAGUUUAUGUAUAAUAACCAUUUUUUUUUUGUUUAUGGGAGGAUUUAUAAAUUUAGAACACUAUAUAAGAAAUCCAAAAGCAAAAGUAUAUAUUGAUCCUGAAGUUAAAAAAAAAUAAAAAAUCACCAACUUUUCUGUAUAAGCAUACAGAUAAAAAUAUGAAAGACUAAACUGAGGGUAGGUCAUGAUAUAGACGGUAGAAAAUGAUCACCACAGUAAUAGCAACUUGAGUGUUUGUUACUAACUAAUAUGAGUGGUAAAAGCUAAGAAUUGAAAAAGAUCUCGCCGGAUAUUAUCAAAUCGCACGAUACCAAAUAUUUAAGCCCUAAACUUUUCACCCAGCUUUACCAAUUAACGAAACACUGGAAUGGUACGUUGCAAGUUGGACACAUGAACUUGCAAAAACACCAUGAGUCUAUACACUCACGUGAAACACGCGCUUGCAUCCCACCUAGAAUCCUAAAGAUGUUUACUUCGAAAUCAUCCAAACAGAUCACACAUCAUGUGUGACACUUGUAUCUGCUCUGAUUCCGUCGCCACCGCAUUUUGCUCCUUUAUUCGUGUUGCUGGCGGGCUUGGCAGAUUCCUCAUCCCCAAUUCCUUAUGUUCCUUCAUGCAUGUGAUUCUCAUUAAUAUGUUCCAGAUUCGUUGGGUCAACCGUGGUGACUUCAAGAAAUGAAGAAAAAAUGGAGACCAUGGAGAAAAUGAAGAAAAAAUUUGAGGUAGAUCUUUAGCUAAAACUUCAGCACACCACAACCGCAACACUGAACUCGCAAAAUUUAGGAAAAUGGAGGAAUUUUUCAAGUAGAGAAUUUUAAUAACCAUCUGAAGAAUCAGUAAGAAGAAGAGAUAAGGAAAUGGUUU
rnacentral:lncRNA from 1 species